GAAUAUUGCACAAUGGGCGCAAGCCUGAUGCAGCCAUGCCGCGUGUGUGAAGAAGGCCUUCGGGUUGUAAAGCACUUUCAGCGGGGAGGAAGGCGGUGAGGUUAAUAACCUCAUCGAUUGACGUUACCCGCAGAAGAAGCACCGGCUAACUCCGUGCCAGCAGCCGCGGUAAUACGGAGGGUGCAAGCGUUAAUCGGAAUUACUGGGC
rnacentral:rRNA from 1 species